rnacentral:rRNA from 1 species
AUGAUCUUAAGUAGCACGCUGUCAGGGAUGGAACGGCACCCUGCCGAGCGGCAGAGGAGCCUCGUCCCCGAGACCCCGUCUCUUCCUCCUCCUUUCUCCUUGUUCCUGGUCCAUUUCCUUCUCCAAGACCAAGAGUCUCCACUCUCCAGCAAGCCCUUUCAAAAGAAGAAUCUCCAGCAAGCUUCGUUCUUCUCGGCGACGGGGCGGAGAAAUCCAGUUACAUCUACUAUGACUUCGGUUCCGGAGCUUCAAGCCAUCCAGGCCAAAAUGGGUUCAGCUGGGGAUGAGUUCACCCCACUGUCUCAGUUAGAAUAUGGAAUGGACAAAUGUAAAGUGCGGGUGCGCAUCUCGCGGCUGUGGGAGUCCUUCAAUCCAAAAGAUGACACUUUGUUCGGCCUUGACUGCCUUCUGAUCGACGAUCAGGGUAAAACUAUGCAGGCUCGUGUAGAACCUGGCGAUAUAGAGUGGUUUGAAGAUCUGCUAGUUGAAGGGAAGGUCUAUGUCUUGUCAGAUUUUCAUGUUGAUUCGCAGAGGGACUACUAUAUGUCCUGUAGCAAUGAGUGGACUAUGUACAUUAGAAGGCAGACGGUGGUCACUGAGAUGGAAGGAGAUAUUGAUUCGAUACCCCUCCACAGCUUUGAGUUUGUUAAAUUUAAGGAUCUCCGUUAUAGGUGCGAUGACAACAGCUUAUUGACUGAUGUUCUGGGUCACAUAGUAUAUGUUGGGGAGCUAGAGGAAGUCUCAAAAAAAUCACGCGUUAUAGAAAUUUGCAAUGCAAGAAUUCGGGAUUUGAGAGGAAGGGCACUGAGUGUGACACUGUUUGGAGAUGUUGCUUCUGGUUUUGCUGAGGAUAUGCUCGAGAAAGGCCAAGACGCCUCAGUUGUUGCUGUCUUUGCAGGGAUGUCUGUUACUUCCUCAUCAUCAGUUUGCUCUACAACAUCUUCAAUGUACUAUCUGGAUUUGGAAAUACCAGAGGUGCAAGAAUUCCGUGCGAAUUUGCUCAUUCAGCAGGCAAACCCUGUUCCAGAAAAAACUCCAGCUCAGAAGUUGGCCGAGAGUUGGCGAACAAUCAAACAGCUAAAAAGCCUCGAUCGAGAAGAGUACGAUGAGGAUACCAUGUUUUUGUGCAGAGUCUCCCUGAUAGAUGUAGAUUGCACCAAUGGUUGGUGCUAUCUUGGAUGCGACACCUGCCAAAAGUCGAUGUCCAGGGCUCCAAGGAAAUACAGGUGUGCCCGAUGUGGCCCGAUGAUGCCAGUUCAGUGGUACAAGCUGAAGGCGAAGGUGCAGGAUGCUACCGGCGCAAUGAACCUGAUGAUCUUCUGUGAGGUGGCGGAGGAGCUGGUCGGUGUCUCCGCGGAGGAGCUCGUGAAUAAGAUCGAGGACGAUGAUGAGUGGUACAGCCUGCCAGACGAAAUCGAGGAUCUUAUUGGCUCGACGCACACCUUCGAGGUUUUCGACAAGUACAUGGACGGGAGCUUCUCGGUGAGGUCGAUCAUGGACGAUGCUAGCGUCCCAGCCCCUGCUGCAGCCGCUAGUCAAUGCAAGGAGGAGAAAGCUGACCCUGAGGGAAGCCAGAAGCCUAACAAGCGGCUGCGAGGCGACGACGACUUGAUCAACCUAGAUCUAGGGUUAUAG